GAGUUUACAUUAUGUGAAGACUAUGCUACAGCUGAUUAAAUUCAUUCAAAACACACUGUGUGAUUUCAACAACAUUGUAGCUGGACUGCAGCUGGAUAAAAUAUGAUUUGUGGGCUAAGACUGUGAUACAAACUUUCUCAGUAAUCGCAUAUAUUAAAACAGAAAUUCUUUCACACGUACCAUAUGUGCUAAUAACACACACACACACACACACACACACACACACACACACACACACACACACACACACACACGCACACAUGCAGUUCUUAACUGGCUCAUUAAUUCCAGAGGGUCACAGUUUUGAAGUUCAA